ensembl:lncRNA
GUCAGAUAGGUGAGAAAAAGAAAAUACAGCAACCAGAGUCAGUCCAGUGUGAAGGUCUGAGCCAGGUUUGGUGCUUGAAGGAGAAACUGACUAGAUUUAGUCUCAGAAGAAGAAAUAGUCGAUCAGUAAUGAAUCCUCUGACGGGAUCUAGUAAAGCAAGUCAGUCCAACAAUUUCAAGGUCAAUAUGUAAAUUAAAUUCUGACUUGUGUAUGAAUGGUACAUUAUCAUGGAUUUUUUGAACUGAAAUAAACCAAAUUGGGAUGGGAGGAAGAUACAUGGUUGUCAAUGUGUGUACUGUAGCUGUUUAUGUGCAUGAAAAACAAAUGAAUUUACAGGUAGUGCAAACCACAACUGACAAUGCCGUUACAUAAACAUGUUUUUACAGCCAUAGUCGGAAAAGUAGCAGGUGGAAGCGAUUACUAAGGAAAUGGCAAGCAGUUUAUAUAGCAGGAAACGAAUAGUGGUUUAGGUCUUUUCACUUCAUGCAGGAACCUGACGAGACAUGAAAAAUAUAAUUUUCUUCUGUGUACUUUGGUUUGGAUAUAUGCAAAUCCCAACCAGUGAUGCAUCUAUAUCAAUACAAGGAUCUUCUGAUCUGCUGAGAGUUCAGAAGGGAGAAAGCAUCAUUAUGAAAUGCAACAUGAGAAACCGAUAUGAAAUCGCCUGGUAUCACCUCAGAGCUAACCGAUUCAAUCUGUUGAUUUCUGCACAGACUGACAUAACAGGGAGAAAAUUUCUGACCACCUACAAUCUAUUCCAAACUCGUCUGAAAAUCGCUGCAGACACAUGGAUCACCAGAGCCACGCUAGAGAUUUCUGGAGUAACAGAGUCAGAUUCAGGUCUUUAUUUCUGUGGAACAAGAUCUAACACCUUCAAUACCAUGACUUAGGUGCCCUUGAGCAAGGCAUCGAACCCCCAACUGCUCCCCGGGCGCCGCAGCAUAAAAUGGCUGCCCACUGCUCCGGGUGUGUGUUCACAGUGUGUGUGUGUGUUCACUGCUCUGUGUGUGUGCACUUCGGAUGGGUUAAAUGCAGAGCACGAAUUCUGAGUAUGGGUCACCAUACUUGGCUGAAUGUCACGUCACUUUCACUUUCACUACAGAGAUGCACUUCGAUCGACCCAUCAGACUAGAGAUCGAGGGUCAACAUGCCGAGGAUCUGAGUACCGAACUGCCAAAAGAAGCUGACAACACAGAUGAGGUGACGCUGAUGGAGCGUGUGCUUAUGUUUGGUGGUGCUGGACUUGCUGCGUUUGUGUUUUUUCUGGCUACAGUCAUUGCAGGAGGACUCCUUCACUAUCACGGUUGGCAGAAAGGAUGGAGCGCAGCCAAUCAUGCUGGUCCUGCUGAUCAAAAAUUACCUAGAUGACACAUUUAUGUGCUUUAUUUUAAAGACGCAAUAUAUCGCUGGGCCCGUAUUCACAAAACAUUUUAUCUUACCACUAAGAGUUCUCCUAAAUAGCAGUAAAAGUUUUUAGCUAAGAGUUUUCUCUUAAAACCUGUUCACAAAGCUGCUGAGACAAGCUUUUACUAAGGAAUAGACAGAAUUAAGCUAAGAGUAAGGGGCGUGGUUGACCUCGUUGCUGUGGAUGAUGUCAGCAUACUUACUAACUAUGCACACAGUGAUUGGCUGAUAGUUUCUGUCAGAGAUUUAUUCAUAGAAAUAUUGCAGAGCGCAAUAUUACGUUGCCAUAUUCAAAUAAAUGUUUUAAAAUAAAAAUGUUAAUUGCCACAUUCAAAUAAAGAUUUUAAAAUGCAGGCUAAGUGUCAAUAAUUAAACAAAUAGGCUAUAUAUUCAGCUAAUUAUCAGCUUCUUAUAUGUAUGCUUCUCAUAAACAAUUAGUGAUUAUGCAUUAGGACUGCCCUCGAUUUAAGAUUUUUCAGGUCGACUAGAAGUCGUUCAUUUUAAGCAUUAGUCGACUAUUAGUCGAACUUUUUUUAAUAAACCAUAUAAAUCAUAAUAAUGAGCCUUUAAUUGCCUACAUAGCCUAAUGAGCACUCAAGCACACGCAAAAAAAGUCUUGCCAAAGCGCACCGGCAUAUAUAAUAAUUAUGAAUGUGUUUGGGAAAAACAGAAAGUACACUCCAUUAACGUUUUAAUUUAUUGUUACGCCGUAAUUUAUUGUUACACUAGUGCUUUCUGUGACAGUGACUCAUCUCCGCAUCACCUGUAUGCAUGUAUCAUAUGGAUUACAUAAUCUGAGAAUAUUUGUUUUCUAUUUAAAUUGGUUUAUUUAAAAAUGAAAAAAAAAAAAAUCACUCUCCAUAUAUAUAUUUUUAAUGUCUGUAAUAAGGCAAGCAUCCACAGAGUUUUGAAGUGACGCGCUCAAGUUCACAGUGUCUUAGACGGCAGAAAACGCAUCAUGUUUGCUUUACUUUACAAAAGCACAACAUUUUGUUGCUGUUCUGAGUCUUUACAUUAGCAGAAUAGUCAUGGCUGAUAGUAAGACAUGCAAACAUAAAAGAAAACCAAACUGGACGCAAGAACAAAUAUAUUUUAAGGAUAUAAUCAAACAUUUGGAGUUGGGAUAACCUCCAAACCAAACCAAUUAGAAAAAAAGUUUCUAAAAUAUUUAUAUUCCGAGGUAGAUUGCUGGUAACAGCCAUUUUAGGAUAUUUCAGAUUUGAUCUUAGUGACUUAGGAGUCCUCUUCACUACUCCUAACAUUUCACAGUUUUAGGAGCUAUUUUUACGCUUUGUGAAAUACUCAGAGAAAAAAUUUAGGAGUCCUAAAAUCGGUAAGUUAGGAGCUACUUUAAGCCUUAAGAUGUUUUGUGAAUACGAGCCCUGGCUCAAAUGUCUUUUCCUGCUGGCCAGAUCUUUUCAUUUUAGAAAAGUUAAGACACUGAGCACCAGUAAAAAUUAAAUCUUAAUAAUUAUUUCUGUCUCUUUAACCUAUCUUUGUUCAUUGUCUUCUAAUGUGAUCUUAUGUAGGGAUUUGAAUAUUCGUAUUGAUAAUGCAGAUAGUGUAUCUGCAAGGGAUUUUUAUUGUGGCUAAACAGCAUUGGUUUAAAACAAUUUAUGCAUUUUCCUACCCAUUUAAAGGGUCAUACGCUGCAUGGAUCUUGUGUGUUGUUCAGGUGUAAUUCUUUAUAAUUGCACUAUUUCCGAUCUGUCUUUGUCAAAUCUUAGGCUGGUGUCCUUUAAUGCUCAGUUACCUGUAUUCAAACUCAAUCUAUGUCGUUCUAUUACAUUUUGGAAAAUAAAGAACAUUGAUGUCUCAGUUUUUGCUGAAGGACUUGCAACUCUUUCUCGCAAUGGCCAUUUUUCAACUGCAGAUGAACUGUUUUUGCAUUGGAUUCACGUUUACAAUUUGUCAUUUAGCAGAUGCUUUUAUCCAAAGUGACUUACAAAUGAGGACAAUAAUGACUUUCAAAGAGAGAGGGAGACUGAUAAUGUCUAAAGUCAGAAGAGAGAACGAUGUCAAAUUUACCAUCACUCCCAUAGACGCAGUAUUACAAACACCCUAGCAUUAGUGUUAAUUUGGGUUUUUGCAACAAAGAUAAAAUUAUGACAUGGAUUUUUAUCUUCGCCCACUUUGGCCUAAAUGUCUGCUAUUCUUUUUUAUUUUAUAUUUUGUUGAGGUGUAGGAGGUUUUAUGUUUCUGCACUCUUCCAUUUUUAGCAAAUAAAAAAAAAAAAAAAUCUGCUUGAACAUUGAAUGGAAGUCCCUUCUCUUGUGUUUUUGCUGGCCUUCCUGUACUUCAGGAGGGUACACAUUUCAGACAAACAUCUCGAUGCUUAUACCUAAAACGAGAUCAAAAAUAAGAGGUUAACCCACCCCCACCCCAUAGUUUCUCCCACAAAAAUCUUUUACAUUCAAAACAUCAAAGGUAUAGAAAUUUAAUCACA